GACCGCGCCCCGAGGGCCUGUCCUGCCGGGCUGGGCUCAGGGGGACCAGGCGCCCUCAGCAGCUCCGGACGACAGACGGGGUGACCGCGCUAGGGGUGCCGGCGGAGCCGAAGGGCAAGCCCCGGAGUCUCGGGCGCCGCGGGGCGCACCCGCACGCCGGACCCGCGGGGUCCCCCGUCCCCGCGGGGCGCACAGGUCUCCGCCCUCCUGGCCGUCGGGGUCCGCGUGCCCCGUGGGGCCCGUAGGUCUUCCCCUCGCCUGACGACCGUGGAGCCCCCGCGCCCCAGCGGUCAGGCGUCCCUACCCCGAACUGUGCGGGGUUGGGCCGGCGCCAGGGACGUGGCUUCAGACCGUCUCCGACCUCAGGCCCCGCAGUUUCUAAGAAACGUCUGUGGGGGAGGGGAGGAGCCCACCCCGAGGUCCUGACCUGAGCAGAAGCCCAGAGGCGCCGUGUGACCCUCGGCCACCCCGGAGCCCCACUCACCCCCUCCUCUUAAAGCUCCGGGUAAGCGGGGGCCGUUCCCCCGCUGUCAGCGGCCUCGCCGUGUCCACGGGGCGCUGAGUUGCUCGGGUCCAGUCUGCCGUGCAGAACAGCGAUCCACCUGUUUCCCAGGCCCGGCGUCGGUUCCGGUGACAGCCGUGACCGCCCUGGAGCCCCCGACCUCUUCCUUGUCUUAAACCGGAGCUGGUGGCCUUGCAGCUCCCGGUGUCCCCCGCCCUUGACCAGCAGCCGCCGUUCCCCUUGCCCUGGCUGAGAUGCCGGCCAGCUUGGGAGACGCAGAGCAGACCCGGCCACCCCAGCCCUGCUCUCCCCAGAAGCGCCGGUGCUCGGGUCUUGUGUCCGGUUCCCUCACCCGUUCCCGCGGGACACAACGUGCCAACGCCGUUUCCCCCGUAGGUGCUUCUUGGGGAUCACGGCCGCCCCGUGCAGGGGUGCGCCCCGGUUCUGUCGUCUAGACGGGCCGCCUUCCCAGCUCACCGCCCGUUGGUGGCCGGUAGGCGGGCACCGGUUCUUGUGUUGACCAGCGGGAGCUGAUUCUCAGGUAGGACAUCUCGCGUCGGCGCUCGCCUUCCUUAGAAGGUUCCUCCGUGGGGAUCACCGGGCCACGUAGGUCGGGUCAGGCUGUGCUGACGGCUGUUGGCAAGUUCGCAGAAGGCAGUGGAAUCGGUCGUGGAAACCCGGCCCCCGCAGCGCCGCGGCCCCUCUGUGGGGUGGUGAACGUGGCAUCCCACCGCGGCUGGCGUUGGCGUUUCCGGUGCUUGUUAUUCCAAGGGGUUCUCUCCAUCCUGUUCCUGCUUCGUGCAGAGCCGCUACACCCUGUUUUGAAAGGUGGACGGUUGACCGUUCUGGGCACCCCCUAGGGGGUGUUCUCUGCAGACGGGUCACCUGCGAGCCUCCGGAACGUACGUUCUGCCAUAGGCGUGGUGGAAAGAUCAGCGCGGACCUUUACGAAGUUCUCCAAGCUCGUGUCAUGAACCCCCGGUGUGACGGUGUCAGACUCCCGCGCCCUCCCCACUUCUGCCCCGCGAGGACACGGCCUCCUGAACCGGGAAGCGGGUCCUCCCCCGACGGGGAAUCUCCAGGACCUUGGUCUUGGGCUGUGGGACAUCAGGGGGGCUUGUGAGCCCCCCAGUCUGGGAUUUUUUGUUACAGCAGCCUGAACAGAUUAAGGUCGCCUCCCAGUGUGGACGAGAGGACGUCUCGGCGGUGUUUCUCCAGUGUUACCGUGCACACGCGUCCCUCACUUGUGGGAAUCCUGGUUCCGGAGACCCGGUGUGCGGCCUCUGCGUCUCUAGCAAGCCCUGGGGCAGGCCUUGCCAGGGACUAAAGCUGCUGGUCCGCAGGCCAGGCCCUGAGUCGCAAGCACAGACGAGAAGUGCGUUGGCUCCAGAGUCCAGCAGACCUGACUCGGGUACAUACGGAGGAUUCAGAGUCGUGGAUCCAGGGCCUCCUUGGCUAGAGCCGAGCACUUUCCGACUCCUGGCACCUGCCGACAUCGUGGGAAGGAAGCCGCUGCGUGACUUCCUCGUCGUCACAGAACGCAGGCUGUAAAGCCUGUGACUCUUCUAAGCUCUGCCGAAGUUCACACGCGCCUCUCUGUUCGUUCGUGAAGCCUUUCUAGGGACCCUCCAGCAGCGCACGGUGCCAGAAGAUCCCUGGUUUCAAAAAGGAGCUCUCGGGCUGAGUUACCCUCUGCAAGUGUAUGUGUUGACAUCUCGAAGCCCAGGACCUCAAGAUGUGACUGCGUUUGGAGAGAGCAUCUUUAAAGAGCUGAUCAAGGUACAGUGAGGUGUUGAGAGAACCCCACUUCCACGCUCAAGCCCCAGACCUGGCAGCGAGGUGCUUCCCUCCAGGCCCCAGGGCAGCUCCCCUUCCUGCACGUGCCCGGCCACCCUCCAGUCGUCUCUGCACACCUGGGCCUGCCAUUUCUAGAACUUGCGCCUCCUGCUCUCCGCCGUGUCUGGUCUCUGAUUUGCAAGGGAAGAGUUCAGAGUGUCUUGCUGAGUGGCAGGAGCUGACCUCACAGACUCGGAAGCCAGCGCAGGUGCAAGUGGCCGUCACCAGCACGCCAACACGCGUGACGUCCACGGCGGCCCACGGUGAGUACUGGCUGUUACUGGCCGCAGACGCGCACAGGUCAGUGCUGCCUCCUUCCGGAAGAAACCGUGUCGGGUGUUUAACUCCGUGAGUGAGGACCACGGCUUCCCCGAAGGGAGCUCGAGUGUGUCCUCGCUCCGUGCGUGCGCCCGGCCAGAAGUCUGUCCGCUGGAGCCGGCCGGCGGGCGUCGCCCUGCCCACGCCGCUGACAGUGGGGACGGUCUCCACCGGCCCCGUCACCACCCGCCCGCUUGCCGGCGCCCGCACGGCGAGUCUGCGGUCCGGCCGGCCUGCAGGAGCGAGGCAGGCUUGCGCCCGCCCCCGGGGCCUGAUGGUGGUCCUUGCGCUCGUGCCGCGGCCAGCAGCUUCCUUUCUAAGGAGGAGAAAGGCCACGGCUGUGACAUUGGUCCCGCAAGUGGACUGAAGAAAACAAAUAAAGGCUGGUUUAGGCUGA